UCCCUUAGAUGUCCGGGGCUGCACGCGCGCUACACUGAAGGAAUCAGCGUGCUAAAACCAUUGUCGAAAGGCAUUGGUAAACCCAUUAAAAUCCUACGUGAUUGGGAUCGGGAAUUGCAAUUAUUUCCCUUGAACGAGGAAUUCCCAGUAAGUGUGGGUCAUAAGCUCGCGUUGAUUACGUCCCUGCCCUUUGUACACACCGCCCGUCGCUGCCCGGGACUGAGCCGUUUCGAGAAAAGCGGGGACUGCUGCUGUCGGGGCUUUCGGGCCUUGGCUUCGGUGGAAACCGCUUUAAUCGCAGUGGCUUGAACCGGGCAAAAGUCGUAACA
rnacentral:rRNA from 1 species